CUAGGAAAUAAUCUAUUCAGGCAGACUCAGGAUCAUGAGCACUUGGGAUUUCUGCUUCACAUUGGAAACUUCAGUGAUUCAUUUCAAGCUCACUAUUCACCCCUUCUUUUUUCGUUCAGAAAUAGAAACAACGUUGACUGAGAAGGUAGCUGCGAAGAUCUUUCUUACAGAAAGAGUUAGGAUUUAUAAGGAGAAGUACAGGACAGAAUAACAGUUAUUUCAGAUCGCCACAGCACAGUAAUGGUAUUCAGUUGGUCAUCCAAAGCUUUAGGCCAAAGGACAGCUGAGAUAACAUGUUCAGUGGUAGGAUAAGUGUAAGUUCUGUGGUUUUUUUUUCAACAUCUUGUAAUGAACAUUCUGG
ensembl:lncRNA